UAUGUGGAAGGUCACUAAAAGAACCCCCAGCAGCAGCGGCUCUUGAUAACAACACCACGCGGCGGCUGAAGGAGGGAGGUGGCUGAAGGAGGUGGCCACGAGGUCCACCACACACGAGGUCCUCCUAUAGGUUUACUCCUCUCGUGAACCUGUAAAUCAUGCCUCCAUUAUAUAUAGUACCAUGGUUUUCAAUACAAGAAUGGCUGGAAGUAUAUGAAGGAGCUUUUUCUGAUGACAUUAGUCGCUGGAAAGCUGCACUAAAUGCCAUGAUUGUGUGGCAGGCAAGGGUAGAUAAAUUACCUUCUGGUAUUGAUGUGACAUUACCCUUACUUCAAGCCAAGGUGAUAGAUGCAGAUCCCACUGUUGAAAAAUCUGUCAAAUCUGUCUUAUUAGCAACAGCAAUACAGAGGUUUGUGAGCUCAAUUGUAAAGCUGCCACAGACGAAGUACUUUCAGAAACAGUCCAUGCAUGACCUUGCAACAGAUAUUGGAUUACCUCUUCAUCUAGUUGAUCUUCGAAAUGAAAUUAUACAUGGCAAUGGGGGUUGGACAGGAGGGCAGACAGUUCAUCAUGCCCUCGAGACAGCAUAUAAGUGGAUUAAGGGUUAUUACUGGGAUGCUGAAUCUAAGGAGAUGCAAGAUCAGUCUGAGGAAUCCACACCACCCCAGAUACCACAAGAUGAAUGGUGCAAGUUCAAGAAAGUCAUGACCAUGUAUGCUGCUACUCUAUUAUCUGAUGCAAGGACUGCAAGUAAAAAAAUGUGUCUUCAGAAAAAGGCUUGCAGAUACUUGGUGUGGAACCUAGAAAGUUUGUAUCCACAUAAUCCACAAGAAUUUGUAGAGGCUAUUGUUUCGCAUCUACUAAUUCCAGAAUCCAUACCAGAUCUUGAACAGCGACUUAAGUGUGCUGGUCCUCGUGGUUGUGGAUGCUUCUUCGAGAACCGCGUCAUUUCUGGAGUGGAUCCAAUAUUGUGUUCACUGCACGAGAUGGAAGGGUCAACAGAGUUACUGUUCACCUGCCUCAUCAAGAAAGGUCGUGAAAAUUCCAAAGAAGCAUCAGAAUGGGUCCGUCUGUUGGCUGCGGGUAUUCUUGGGCGCUCUGUGUUUUAUUAUCAAAAAACCCACUGCAGGAAUCAUGACCUAAAUUUAGAUAAGAAUCUGGAUGUCAAUUGGGAGACAGUUGUUAUGGAGCUGCUGGAAACAGAGUCAGAAUGGGGCUUUGCUAUUGCUACCAGAAUCAUGAGUUGUCCUGAGACAGGCUUCUCAAAAUCACAAAGGGAAGAUGUAGAGGAGUUGUUUCAAACUUUGAAAGGCAGUACCAAGGAGGACUUGCAACAAGUGAAAGCUUCCAAGAAGGCAUUAAAGGAUGUCACUUACACCAUUGAUGAUGUUAUCAAAGUUGCUGAGAAGCACUCUGAGAAUACAUUGACUAAAAUGCAAAAGUUGAAGAACUCCAUAGAAUUUCUUGGAACAGAUAUAACAUAUGCAGAUGCUCCUCUUGGGAUUCUGCCUCAUCAGAGGGACAACCCAAUCUUCUACAAAGAACUUCUACUUCAUCGUCCAGACAUAAGUGAAGAUAUUCCUUUGCCCAAGAGGUGUCGGAUAUGAAACUUUAGGAUUAAUGGGUUUAUUCAAAAUUAUGUGGAUUGAGCGUUGGUGUUGAGCCUGAUGUUAGGCGGUGUAUUGAGUUCACAGGAUGUUGUCCAAGUCAACUCAGGUCGGAGGUUUGUGUCGAUUGCUGUUAAAAUUCCAAGUAGCGGCAUCUGAAAAUGUACCACCACAUCGGGAAUGGAACAUAUUGUUAAGACCAAAGAGUCCUCUGCCUAUGCAAUUUAAUCUUCAGAAUAG
rnacentral:misc_RNA from 1 species